GGGUAGGUACCGAAGCGGUCAAACGGGGCAGACUGUAAAUCUGCUGGCUAUGCCUUCAGAGGUUCGAAUCCUCUCCUGCCCA
rnacentral:tRNA from 4 species